AACGCACGAGACCUGCGGACCUGCGGAAGGAUCAUUAACGAAUAUCUAUGGCGUUGGUUGUAGCUGGCUCUUAGGAGCAUUUUGUGCACGCCCGUCAUUCAUAUCAUCUUUCCACCUGUGAACUAUGUGUAGGCCUGGAUACCCCUCGCUUUGGCAACAAGGCGGAUACAAGGAUUGCUGCGUCGCAAGGCCGGCUCUCUUUGAAUUUCCAGGUUCUAUGUUUUUUACACACCCCAUUUG
rnacentral:misc_RNA from 1 species